GGUGAGGUGGACGAGUGGUUCAGGUGAAAGACUGCUAAUCCAUUGUACUCUGCGUGCGUGGGUUCAAAUCCCAUUCUUGUCA
rfam:Xenopus laevis strain J chromosome 3L, whole genome shotgun sequence.